rnacentral:lncRNA from 1 species
GGCACCACACAGUCCGAGGACGAACUUGGGACUUGCCAAAAAUCUCCAGCAGGGACAGCCCCCACCAUCACGGCCCCGUGAGCAAAACAGCCCCAGCUUGGUGAACUUACAGAAAUCCACCUGCAGGUCCCGGUAGACCAAGCUGUGGGCACUCGGAGGUUGUUCCAGUUUGGAAGUGAACGUGAUGAUGGAGUCAGGGAAGAGGAAUGCAGAUCUGGGUAAGUCAUUUUUCUUUCUUCCAUCAACACAAGCCCCUUCUCGUUUCUGUACAUAUCCCACAUUGAUAUUCAUAUCCCAUGCUGGUACACACAUCCUUUCUUCCCUGAGUGGGUGGCUUAUUUGUCCUGUCUCAUAUUCUAGACACAUGUGGACAAAGACCACAUCAGAUAGAUUCAUAAACAGUGUAAUUUUUGGAAUAUUGUCAUCAAUAGGAAAAAAAAAUACAGAAUUGGCUUUGAUAAUGAUUUUUGUAGCAUACACAGAGGAAGAACUUAGGGCUGAAUUCUCUCUCUGUCUCUCUUUUAGAAGAAUGGGAUGCAAAAAUCAGGAAGUUAACAGAAGAAUUUGAAGAAAGUGACACAGAACUCGGUAAGUGGUUUGGUUUGCUUUUGCUGCUACUGAAGAUGAAAAAAAAAAGUUUCUUUGUGUAGCUUUUGGGCUUGGAAAAACAGCAAACGUCCUUCAGAUCUUAAAUUUGUGCUGAUAAACAGAUAAAGACAAGACAGAUAGCUUUGGUCCCUUCUCCUUAAGUUCUUGGCAUCUUUUUUGGGAGGAGACAAACUGUCUCUCUACAGUCCAACAGCAUUCCCUAAUUCCUUCUUUGGUCCCUUGCUUGCUCACUGAAGUAUGUUGGAGGCGGAGAACUUUUAGGAUUAACACGUGUUUAUUUCUCUAUUAUUCUUAGAGGAAUGUGACACAGAAAAUGGUAAGUGUCCUCCUUCAAUUUAAAAAUAAUAGUGCCCUUCAAAUGGUGUCAGUCAUGCUUUGGAAUAAAACUUUUUUUUUUUAUAAUGCAUACUUUUACAAUACAUUUGCAAUAUAUACUUUUUUUAAUACAAUAAAUACUUUUUUUCUGUCCUUGAGAAUAUUUUCUGCAAUGCUUAGCACAUCAUGUUCUUUUGAAGACAUGUUUGGGGCAGGACUCUUAACAGCAAUUUGCAAUUUGUGCAUUUUUUUUGUCUAGGCUUUGGAAAAUGUAGGAAUAUAAAAGUGUUAAAAUGAAAGCUAAUUGGAAAUUCCUGUAAUAAAUAACCUAUGUCUGGGUCAGUAAAGAGGUUUUGCCCCCUUAAGCUAUGUAAAAAUGAUAUAAAACAUGCAGAAGUGGUGAAAAAUACUUUAAAUUUCCCUUCUUUUCUCUAUUUUUUCUUCUUGUGGGGGACAAAAUGAAGAAAUAGGUAAGCGUUGCUUCAUUGUCUUUAUCAAAUAGAGUCUGAUAAGAGAAUUUCUUGUUUAAUGAACCCUGCAUGAGUACUUAGGAUGCCAUGUAACAGAUGAGACCCAUGGUCCCAUCUACUGUAGGGUCUACGCUUGACCCUACUUGGUAAUAUAAACGCCAAAUUCAUAGGCUCAAGGAGAACAAACUCAAUCAAAUCGCAGUCUUUUAACACGAAUCCCAAUCUGUUUCUUUAUUUUAAGGGGAACUCACAGCUGAGAUAG